rnacentral:rRNA from 10 species
UGAGACUUAGAGUCUCCUGAAGGAACGUUGAAGACGACGACGUUGAUAGGCCGGGUGUGUAAGCGCAGCGAUGCGUUGAGCUAACCGGUACUAAUGAACCGUGAGGCUUAACCUU